UGUGGCACUGAGCCGGCUCAGGCAGAGACGCGGCACCAUGGCUAGCAAGAAAGUCUGCAUUGUAGGCUCCGGGAACUGGGGCUCAGCCAUCGCCAAGAUCGUGGGUGGCAAUGCAGCCCAGCUGGCACAGUUUGACCCACGGGUGACCAUGUGGGUAUUUGAGGAAGACAUUGGAGGCAAAAAGCUGACUGAGAUCAUCAACACGCAGCAUGAGAAUGUCAAAUACCUGCCAGGGCACAAGUUGCCCCCAAAUGUGGUGGCUGUCCCAGAUGUGGUCCAGGCUGCAGCGGAUGCUGACAUCCUGAUCUUUGUGGUGCCCCAUCAGUUCAUCGGCAAGAUCUGUGACCAGCUCAAGGGCCAUCUGAAGGCAAACGCCACUGGCAUAUCUCUUAUUAAGGGGGUAGACGAGGGCCCCAAUGGGCUGAAGCUCAUCUCGGAAGUGAUUGGGGAGCACCUCUGCAUUCCCAUGAGUGUGCUGAUGGGGGCCAACAUUGCCAGCGAGGUGGCUGAUGAGAAGUUCUGUGAGACAACCAUUGGCUGCAAGGACCUGGCCCAGGGACAACUUCUGAAAGAGCUGAUGCAGACACCCAACUUCCGCAUCACGGUGGUGCAAGAGGUGGACACAGUAGAGAUCUGUGGAGCCUUAAAGAAUGUAGUGGCCGUGGGGGCUGGCUUCUGUGAUGGCCUGGGCUUUGGCGACAACACCAAGGCGGCAGUGAUCCGGCUGGGACUCAUGGAGAUGAUAGCCUUCGCCAAGCUCUUCUGCAGUGGCCCUGUGUCCUCUGCCACCUUCUUGGAGAGCUGUGGUGUUGCUGACCUGAUCACUACCUGCUAUGGAGGGCGGAACCGGAAAGUGGCUGAGGCCUUUGCGCGUACAGGAAAGUCCAUUGAGCAGCUGGAGAAAGAGUUGCUGAAUGGGCAGAAACUGCAGGGGCCUGAGACAGCCCGGGAGCUACACAGCAUCCUCCAGCACAAGGGCCUGGUGGACAAGUUUCCCUUGUUCAUGGCUGUGUACAAGGUGUGCUACGAGGGCCAGCCAGUGGGUGAAUUCAUCCGCUGCCUGCAGAAUCAUCCAGAACAUAUGUGAGUGGGGCCAGGGCCCAGGCCAGGCCGCUUCUUUACCCCAGUGGAGACCAGCAGAAGCCUGGGGUACCUAGUCACCAGGAUCUCCAGGACUCCCAGGGAGCAGAGUGUUUUCAUCUUUUCGCUGGAGGACAGGAGGCUAUGGGGGCCAGCUAUGCACCUGGAGAUCCUGAACUGUCAAGCCACUGGCAGCCUCUUGCCACCACAUUUGCCAGAAAUGCAGUUGCCCUGUCCCUCUCCAGAUGUGGGGCUUUCUCCGUGUCCUCUGGGAGGGGUGGAAUCAAGCCCCAGUGCUGCCUGCUUGGUGGCAGGGGUGAUGUAUGUGGGGAAGGGUUGGGGGAGAGGCCAGUAGGGCAGGGGCUGCCAGUGGCUGUCUCACAUACACCAGGAAUCCUGUUAAAGGGCUGAAGAAGUAUCUUAGCCACAGGAGGGAUGAGGCAAGGAUUGUCAGGGAGGGGUCUGGGCUUCUGAGCUGAUGCAGGCCCCAAGGACCCCUUUGCUGACCUCUGCCAGGACCCACACAGCUUGGAUGGAUCUCAGUGUUUGUUAACAAAAUACAAUGAUCUCAAACAAACCCCUUUUAGCUUCUCCUAGCAACAUCUGUGUCCUCAGAAACCUCUGGUUCUCCCCCUUCCCCCUCCCACAGGCUGCCCUGGCACCCAAAUUGCUGCCAUGCUGGCAUCUGUAGCUCGCUGGCUUGACAUUCUCCCCAGGGACUUCCCGGUUCCUAGUUCUUUGCCAGCUCCUCCCCACUCUGUGUGACCUUUUCAAGCCUUCCCUCACCCUCCCCACCAGCACCCUCUUUGGGGAGCAGGAACUUAAUCUGCUGACAGAGCUACACCUUUCACAGCAGGCUCAGAUCACUCAGCUCCCUGUGACCUUUGUAUUCACCCAGCCUUCCUUCUCAGUAGCUCUAGCUGGGGGAGGUGUCAGCUGGGCCCCUCCUGUGCUAUCUCCCCAGAUGACAUCCCUGACUCCACCCCUUUCUCCCUCCCAAACUCUGCACCUCUUCCUCGGCUGCUCCAGACCGGCCAGGGUAACCAGCUAACCAUGCCUGGCAUCUGGAAGCCAGCAGGCCAGAGGGUGGCCCAAAGGCUGAUGAACGGAAAAAUGAAAAAAGAAAUCCCUCCUCCAUAAUCGCAGCUACUCCAGGGGUCAGCGGCGGUGCCCACUCAGUCUCCAUCCCUCUCUCUCCCCUCUGCCGCCAGCGCCCCCUCCCGCCCUCGCCGCAAGCUGGCCCCGGCCCUGCCGGCCCUUCUUAGGGGCUUUAUCAUGCCUCCUGCAAGAAUAGAGGUCACACACGGGACGGAAACGUUAGACAGUCAUCCCUUGUGCCCAUUCCUUGGUCACGGGCCAAGCUGCCGCAUCCUUGGCGGUCCAGGCAUCGCGGUGCCCCUCGGGUCCCUACCUGGACUAGGCCCACAGCCUGGCUCUAGGGGGCGCGCGAUCCACCUCCAGAAGGCCGGCUGCGAAAAUCUACCCAGCUACUGGAGACGUCACCGCGCCGUAGGCUGACUCUGAUUUAGCAUCCUAAAACUUCCGGUUCCAGAGCUUGGCUCGCCAAAGACCCUCCCUCGAGAGAGCGAAACCACAGCCCCCAGAAUUCAGCGUGCCUCUCCGAGAGCACGGCGCGUCUGAGGAUGCGUAGUAAGGAUAACGGGCCCGGAAGCCGGAAGUUCAAAGCAGGCCUCCAGCCAGAGUGACGGCCUGCGCGGACUCCCGCCUUAGUGGGCGGAGUUGUGCCGCGUCUGAUGCGCAGUUCCCUUUCUAGAGUGGCAAGCCGAAUCCUAGAGGCUAACCCGGCAGGUGGGAGGGAGGAAGUCGCUUUAUGCACUAAUAGCUGAGGCGUUCAAGGUUGUCCAGGGACGCUACCCUCACGUGUCUGGUUCCGAGUGCUGCGUUCGGCUGUGCUGGGAAGUUGCGUAUAUAGUGGCCUCGAGACCCUGCCUGCCUGAGGAGGCUUCGGUUGGACGCGAAGGAGCUGCAGCAUCCAGUUCUAGAGGCUGGGAAGUCCAGGAUCAAGAUGCCAGCAGAUCCAGUGCAUCGUGAGGAUACACCUCCUGGUUUGCAGAUGGUCGUCUUGCCGUGUCCUCACAUGGCAGAAAGAGGAAGCAAGCUCUCCUUGUUUGUCUUAUAAGGGCACUAAUCCCAUCACGAGAGGUCCACCCUCAGAACCUAAUGACCCCCUAAAGAGCCCACCUAAUGCUGUCCCACUGGGGGUUAGGAUUUUGACAUUGGAAUUUUGAGGAGGACACAAACAUGCAGUCCAUAACACAUUCCCUCCCAUGAUAUGCAAGACCUCUUUUUUUUUUGAGGUGGGGUCUCCUCUCCGUUGCCCAGGCUGGAGGGCAGUGGCAUGAUCAUAGCUCACUGCAGCCUCAACCUCCUGGGCUCAAGUGAUCCUGCCGCUUCACCCUCCUUGGUAGCUGGGCUACAGGCACAUACCACCACACCUGGCUACUUUUAUUAUUUUUGUAGAGAUGGAGUCUCACUGUUGCCCAGGCUGGUCUCAAACUCUUUGCCUCAAGCAAUCCUCCCACCUUGGCCUCUUAAAAUGCUGGGAUUACAGGCAUGAGCCACCACACCUGGCUAUGAUGGUUAAUUUUAUAUGUCAACCUGACUGGGUCAUAGGGUACCCACAUAUUUGGUCUUACUCUGGGUGUAUCUAUCAGGAUAUUUCUGGGCCUCAUUCAAUCCAUUGAAGGCCUGUACAGAACAGGAAGGCUGAUUAAGAGAGAAUCUCUGUCUUUGAGGUGGAAAAUCAGUCUUCUGCCUUGUGACGUGGACUCAGACUGGAACUCAUACCGUCAGCUCUCUUGGUUUUCAGGCCUUUGGAAUUGGCCUGGAACUAUACCAUUGGCUCUCCUGGGUCCUCAGCUUAUCACCGGCAUAUCUUGGGACUUCUCAGCCUCCAGAACCAUAGAAGCCAAUUCCAUAUAAUAAAGCUCUCUCUCUCAUCUA